UGGGGAAUUUUGGACAAUGGGCGAAAGCCUGAUCCAGCAAUGCCGCGUGUGUGAAGAAGGCCUUCGGGUUGUAAAGCACUUUUGUCCGGAAAGAAAUCCUUGGCUCUAAUACAGUCGGGGGAUGACGGUACCGGAAGAAUAAGCACCGGCUAACUACGUGCCAGCAGCCGCGGUAAUACGUAGGGUGCAAGCGUUAAUCGGAAUUACUGGGCGUAAAGCGUGCGCAGGCGGUUUGCUAAGACCGAUGUGAAAUCCCCGGGCUCAACCUGGGAACUGCUUUGGUGACUGGCAGGCUAGAGUAUGGCAGAGGGGGGUAGAAUUCCACGUGUAGCAGUGAAAUGCGUAGAGAUGUGGAGGAAUACCGAUGGCGAAGGCAGCCCCCUGGGCCAAUACUGACGCUCAUGCACGAAAGCGUGGGGAGCAAAACAGGAUUAGAUACCCUGGUAGUCCACGCCCUAAAACGAUGUCAACUAGUUGUUGGGGACUUCAUUUCCUUAGUAACGUAGCUAACGCGUGAAGUUGACCGCCUGGGGAGUACGGUCGCAAGAUUAAAACUCAAAGGAAUUG
rnacentral:rRNA from 1 species